rnacentral:pre_miRNA from 1 species
UGAUGAUGUUACUGGUGAAUGCAAUGAUGGAAUCAAUGGUGCUGGUGAAUGCAAUGGUGGAAUCAAUGGUGAAGGUGACUGAAAUGAUGGAAUCGAUGUUACUGGUGAAGUAAUGGUGCACCAUUGAUUCCAACAUUGAAUUCACCAGCACCAUUGAUUCCAGCAUUACAUUCACCAGCACCA